rnacentral:tRNA from 1 species
UCUCUAAUGGCUCAGAUGGUAAAGAGUCUGCCUGCAAUGCAGGAGACCCAAGUUCGAUCCCUGGGUUGGGAA